GGUUCCCAGCCCAGCAUACCUCCUCUCCUGGGGGACUGGGACUGCAAACUCCCCACCUGCCCACCGGACCCCCAUAGCCCAGACCACAUUUCAACAGCCAGCAAAAUGCAGGUGUCAUCAGCACUUGGGGAGCUGGUGAGUGCUAAGGACCCCACACCAUGGCAGCAGCUCUCAGGAGAACUGGGGAGGGCCAGGCGUGGGAGAGCGAAUUCCCUGAAUUCCCCGGGAGGGGUGGCAUUCUCAGCUUUUUCAAGAAAGAAACCAGAAGGCCAUCGACGCAGCAGGCAGCUGAGUACACGGGGCCCAGGGCAGGUUUUCGCUGCCUGGCCUGGAAGCCACAGAGAAGACACAGGAGUUCUGCUUCCUGGUGAUCAUAAGCAACACAAGCAUUCACGCAUUUGGUGAAAAACUUAAAGCCACGUCAUCGGGAUGCAGGACUCAACCAGAUACCGUGGGAAGUACUUUGAGCACAGUAAGCGAUGGCUGGAUACUUGCUUUCUAAAAUGUAAGCAUUUAUUGCUUUUAUUAAUUAGUGGUGCCUUUCUCCGGUGAGGACACCCAGGCUCAAAGUCAAAGGACCGGCUGGAGCCGGCAGUGCCUGUGCCUCAAAUCACGGCAGAAGCAAGUUAUGAACAAAUAAACCUGGGCUGAUGCAGAGAUGAGUCUUGAUUUUAAAAUAUUCCUAAAGCGGAGGGCUGUUUUAUGACUUUUGCGCUGUGUGCUUAUUAAACCCAAGCUAUAAAUGUGAACUAAUAAGUAAAAUGAGUUAAGUUAAUGAAAAAAAUCAACCUUCAGGACGAAUCCAUGU